rfam:Buchnera aphidicola str. Bp (Baizongia pistaciae), complete genome.
UAUUUUUUUAUUGUAUAAAAUAUAAAAUAUAAAUAACGACAUUUAUAGGGGUUUAUAGUGGCUCGUAUUGCAGGUAUUAACAUUGCUAAU